rnacentral:rRNA from 1 species
AACGAACGCUGGCGGCAGGCUUAACACAUGCAAGUCGAGCGCCCCGCAAGGGGAGCGGCAGACGGGUGAGUAACGCGUGGGAAUCUACCCAUCUCUACGGAAUAACGCAUGGAAACGUGUGCUAAUACCGUAUACGUCCUUCGGGAGAAAGAUUAUCGGAGAUGGAUGAGCCCGCGUUGGACUAGCUAGUUGGUGGGGUAAAGGCCUACCAAGGCGACGAUCCAUAGCUGGUCUGAGAGGAUGAUCAGCCACACUGGGACUGAGACACGGCCCAGACUCCUACGGGAGGCAGCAGUGGGGAAUAUUGGACAAUGGGCGCAAGCCUGAUCCAGCCAUGCCGCGUGAGUGAUGAAGGCCCUAGGGUUGUAAAGCUCUUUCACCGGUGAAGAUAAUGACGGUAACCGGAGAAGAAGCCCCGGCUAACUUCGUGCCAGCAGCCGCAGUAAUAC